GUCAAUUAUUCAUGGGGCGCCCGGGCGUGCUCCCAAGACCUGCUCUGCCCUCGGCUUCUCUGGCGAAGUGGGGAGAGGACGGGGGGAAAAGUUCCCAGAGUAAAGUUGGCCACGGUUCUCAUUUCCCCAAAUGAGGAGACUGAGGCACAGAAAACUCAAAAGAACUUCCCAAGGCCACACCUAUGGUGUCACCAAGCCAGAAUUCACGGCCAGUUUCCAGAUGGCCGCCCUGCGACAACCUGUCUGGGCAGGUGACCCACUUCCUUCUCUGACACCUUUUUAACUUCUCCAAUGUCCACUAAGGUCCUGGGAUUCAGAGGAAUAAAGGCAGACCAGACAGACGUUUUAAGAAGCAUCAGUGGCUCCUGCAAUAUUUCGUGUUCGAUGUUUCGUACUAAAUCUCCCAACUGGAAUCGGCCAAUGGAAAGGGCAGGACCCCAGGGUGGAACUAAGAGGGGCUGCCGAAAGCAGGCAUUAAUUAAGCACGCUGCCUGGGGGAAAAGGACACCAUUGCCGAAGCCAUGAUGAUGAGCAAGGUCAGAGG